UGUCGUCAGACCCGGUACUUCCAUCGGGCGGAGACGGAGGAACCACAUACGGACCCGGUGACGGGUCCUGGGGUGAAGCCGCCUCGGCGGCCGGGCACUUCCUCUCGCCCGAAUCCGACAGCUAACUCCGCAGGCGACGGGAGGGAACCG
rnacentral:sRNA from 1 species